GACGAACGCUGGCGGCGUGCUUAACACAUGCAAGUCGAGCGGUAAGGCCCUUUCGGGGGUACACGAGCGGCGAACGGGUGAGUAACACGUGGGUGACCUGCCCUCAGCUCUGGGAUAAGCCUGGGAAACCGGGUCUAAUACUGGAUAUGACUCCAUGACGCAUGUUGUGGGGUGGAAAGCCUUGUGCGGCUGAGGAUGGGCCCGCGGCCUAUCAGCUUGUUGGUGGGGUGANGGCCUACCAAGGCGACGACGGGUAGCCGGCCUGAGAGGGCGACCGGCCACACUGGGACUGAGACACGGCCCACGACUCCUACGGGAGGCAGCAGUGGGGAAUCUUGCGCAAUGGGCGAAAGCCUGACGCAGCGACGCCGCGUGAGGGAGUGACGGCCUCGG
rnacentral:rRNA from 1 species